GAUUCUGGCUCAGGAUGAACGCUAGCUACAGGCUUAACACAUGCAAGUCGAGGGGCAUCAUGGAGUCAGCUUGCUGACUUGAUGGCGACCGGCGCGACGGGUGAGUAACGCGUAUCCAACCUUCCCCGCAGUAGGGAAUAGCCCGGCGAAAGUCGGAUUAAUGCCCUAUGCUGUAUUAUGAGGACAUCUGAGCAAUACCAAAGAUUUAUCGCUGCGGGAUGGGGAUGCGUCUGAUUAGCUUGUUGGCGGGGUAACGGCCCACCAAGGCGACGAUCAGUAGGGGUUCUGAGAGGAACGGUCCCCCACAUUGGUACUGAGACACGGACCAAACUCCUACGGGAGGCAGCAGUGAGGAAUAUUGGUCAAUGGGCGGAAGCCUGAACCAGCCAAGUAAGCGUGCAGGACGACUCGCCCUAGUGGGUUAGUAAACUGUCUUUUAGUAGGGGAAUAAAGUGAGGUACGUGUGCCUUUUGUAUGUACCCUAUGAAUAAGGACCGGCUAAUUCCGUGCCAGCCGCGGC
rnacentral:rRNA from 1 species